rnacentral:rRNA from 1 species
UACGAAGGGGGCUAGCGUUGCUCGGAAUCACUGGGCGUAAAGGGUGCGUAGGCGGGUCUUUAAGUCAGGGGUGAAAUCCUGGAGCUCAACUCCAGAACUGCCUUUGAUACUGAAGAUCUUGAGUUCGGGAGAGGUGAGUGGAACUGCGAGUGUAGAGGUGAAAAUGCUUAGAUAUGACAUAGAACACCAAUUGCGAAGGCAGCUUACUACCCGAAUAUUGACACUGAGGCACGAAAGCGUGGGGAUCAAACAGG